AUCACUUUAUCCAUCAUCUAUACUUAUCAAUAGCAUAAAUAACCACUUAAUUUCAAUAAAAACCAACAAUUCUCAAACUUUCUCAUGGCUUCCAACAUUUAGAGAUUCCAUUUACUCAUGAUUUUCUUUUGAUUUCAUGCAAUUUCUACUUGAUUUAGUAUGCUUACAAAGAUUAAAGAAAGAAGAGAACUUGUUUUAUGCACUAACCUUGUGUGAGCAGAAUUUUUCCAAGCUUAAACUUCACUUUCUCUUCAAUUCUUGGCAGCCAAACACUUCCCCAAGAGGUAUAAACAAGUUUUAAUGAAGGGAGUCUAGGGUUAGUGGUGGGAGACUAGGGUUUUAGAGCUUGAAUUGUGUAACAAUGGAGGAAAGAAAAUGGGUGAGGGAGAGAGAGAAUUAUGGACGGCUAGCUGCUAAAAGAAGACCACAUUUUCU
rnacentral:misc_RNA from 1 species